rnacentral:lncRNA from 1 species
AGUGGAAUUGCUUUAUGUUUCUCUUUAGUUUGUUUGAUGUUGGCUAUUGCCUUGCUUUUAUUCUGUUUUGGUAUAUGCUGUGCCUCUGCAAGUCUCUGCAAGACUUUUAUAUGAAGGAGAUCCUCCUCAGCCUUCUCAACAUAAAGGGCUUCUGUGACCUUUUCCAUUCUGUCAGGAUCUUUCAUUAGCAUGCUGCUGCAUCUUUGCCCCUGAUCCAGCAGUACAAUUCCAAAGGAGAAGCCAACAAAGCUGUCUGGAAAGUAGAUAGGUCUGCAGACUUUGAGGCAUUCUGAGUCCAGCUGACCUUAGGUUCUCUGCCCCUGUCCCAUCCUUGCCACUGUAGUCUGGGAUUACCCAGCCAACCUUUAAUCUUGGGCCUCUGAUGUGGACAGAGAUAAGGAAACUCAGUCCUGAAGAUCACUUGCCAGCAGCUGCCUAACAAUAUGGGUUUCAGCAUCUAGAAGACAGCCUGAGGAGGGGAGCCACGUUCAGAUUCAGCAAGUUCAUCAGGAUCCUGGAAAACAAAUGCCAAGCUUGAUGAACCCUGUGAGCCUCAGGGCAGACCUUCUUCAGGAGUUGGGCCACCUGGGAACUGUUCUGAAAAUCCAGAGAUGCGAGGUUUUUUUCAGAGUUGUGAAUUCUUGAUCCUCUCACCUUGGCACCUGAACAUCCCCACAGCCUGAAAAGGGUGAACAAUAGGCUCAGCCCAACAAGAGCCUCCACAGCACCUACUACUGACUACCUGCUUCCCUAUAGGGUCCCUGCAGGUCCCAAGCCAGCACAGCACAGAGAACAAGAGUCUAAAGAGGUCUUUACACAAUUGUUUGACUUGUUCUCAGCAUCUAGUGUAUUAGGCAUGAGGAUUGUAUGUGGAAAACUGUCUGCUGCUUGGAAUCAGAUCCCUGAUAGACUGAUUGCUUAGGAAGCAGCCCCCCAAAAGUGCCUGGAAUAUACUGGAUAUCAGUAAAUGCCU